UGAGGAAUAUUGGUCAAUGGGCGGGAGCCUGAACCAGCCAAGUCGCGUGAAGGAAGAAGGAUCUAUGGUUCGUAAACUUCUUUCGCAGGGGAAUAAAGUGCAGGACGUGUCCUGUUUUGUAUGUACCCUGAGAAUAAGGAUCGGCUAACUCCGUGCCAGCAGCCGCGGUAAUACGGAGGAUCCGAGCGUUAUCCGGAUUUAUUGGGUUUAAAGGGUGCGUAGGUGGUUUGAUAAGUCAGCGGUGAAAGUUUGCAGCUUAACUGUAAAAAUGCCGUUGAAACUGUCGGACUUGAGUGUAAAUGAGGUAGGCGGAAUGCGUGGUGUAGCGGUGAAAUGCAUAGAUAUCACGCAGAACUCCGAUUGCGAAGGCAGCUUACUAAGCUACAACUGACACUGAAGCACGAAAGCGUGGGGAUCAAACA
rnacentral:rRNA from 1 species